CAGAUAUCAGGAGGAACACCGAUGGCGAAGGCAGGUCUCUGGGCAUUAACUGACGCUGAGGAGCGAAAGCAUGGGGAGCGAACAGGAUUAGAUACCCUGGUAGUCCAUGCCGUAAACGUUGGGCACUAGGUGUGGGGGACAUUCCACGUUUUCCGCGCCGUAGCUAACGCAUUAAGUGCCCCGCCUGGGGAGUACGGCCGCAAGGCUAAAACUCAAAGGAAUUGACGGGGGCCCGCACAAGCGGCGGAGCAUGCGGAUUAAUUCGAUGCAACGCGAAGAACCUUACCAAGGCUUGACAUGGGCCGGAUCGCCGCAGAAAUGUGGUUUCCCCUUUGGGGCCGGUUCACAGGUGGUGCAUGGUUGUCGUCAGCUCGUGUCGUGAGAUGUUGGGUUAAGUCCCGCAACGAGCGCAACCCUCGUUCUAUGUUGCCAGCGCGUUAUGGCGGGGACUCAUAGGAGACUGCCGGGGUCAACUCGGAGGAAGGUGGGGACGACGUCAAAUCAUCAUGCCCCUUAUGUCUUGGGCUUCACGCAUGCUACAAUGGCCGGUACAAAGGGUUGCGAUACUGUGAGGUGGAGCUAAUCCCAAAAAGCCGGUCUCAGUUCGGAUUGGGGUCUGCAACUCGACCCCAUGAAGUCGGAGUCGCUAGUAAUCGCAGAUCAGCAACGCUGCGGUGAAUACGUUCCCGGGCCUUGUACACACCGCCCGUCAAGUCACGAAAGUUGGUAACACCCGAAGCCGGUGGCCUAACCCCUUGUGGGAGGGAGCUGUCGAAGGUGGGACUGGCGAUUGGACUAAG
rnacentral:rRNA from 1 species